GACAUUUGUUUGAUGGUGGUUGAUUAUGAAGCAGAGUCUCAGAAUGCAUGAAUGGUUGCAAAAGAGCAUACUUCCAUCUCCUUUGUCAGUGCCUAUUUUGAUAUAUGAUUGGUCCUUGAUAUCAGUGCUGGUGUAUUUUACCUUCUUGGGCUUGAGUGAGUUGAGCUAUGGUCAUACAACUACUGUUAAAAGAGUCUCUAAAAGGAAAAGAGAUGUAUGGAACUGUUUUCCAUUUAUAUACUUAGUGAAAUUUGGCAUAUCUUAACCAAAGCCUUUACAGGGCUCACCGUGCACCUGUGUGGUCUGGAGAGGAAGAAAUUGGUGAUCUAAACAACUUCUUAAUCCCUAGGGUUUGAGGUUUAGGUUGGUUAUUGAAUCUGUUGGCCUAGAGGCCUUUUGUGAAUGCUAAGAUGUGGGAAUUGGGCCUAAAUAUUACCUUCAAUAUAAAAAAGGGGGAAAUAAACACACUUGUGUGCAGAAUACAGAAAGCUGAAGAAAAAACGACUGACCACUCACAGACGACGACGAAGGCUGCCCUACGCCAAAUUCCUCUCUCCUGUCGAUCCAUGACCGCGGGUUCCAAGAACCACCACCAACCUUCUUCUUCCCGGCCACCCAGAAACCUUAGCCUCGCUACCACAGUGACUAACUUCCAAAAUCCCAACUCUAAUCAUAUUUCCUCCACUCCUAAUUCAUCGAUUAUUCUCUCCCAACAAGAUCAGAUUCUCUCACACGCCACCCAUCUCACGCGCCAAGAACUCCUUAAGCGUCGUUCAUUCAACCUCAAGCAGCUCUCCAAAUGCUACAGAGACCACUAUUGGGCUCUAAUGGAGGAGCUCAAGAUCCAGUACAGAGAUUACUAUUGGAAGUACGGUGUAAGCCCAUUCAAAGAAGACCAUCCCCUCCUCCAGCAGCAAAAGCAAGAGAAAGGCGGCGGUGGCAGUGUUGUAGAUAGAGAAGUUGGAGUGAGAGAAGGUGGUAGUUUUAAUAUCGAAGUUAUGGGCGAAAAUAAUAAUGGUAGUGGUAAUAGUUCAGUUUCUAAUAAUAAGGGUGAUUUGGAUUUCAAUAACAAUCAUCGAUGUCUGUUUGUGGGGUGUAAGCUAAAGGCCAUGGCUUUGACUAGCUAUUGUCAUCUGCAUAUCCUCUCUGAUGCCAAGCAGAAGCUCUACAAGCCCUGCGGUUAUGUCAUCAAGAGUGCUCAGGCAGGACCUAUAACAUGUGGGAAGCCAAUAUUGAGAUCGACUGCUUCUCUUUGCACCGUACACUUCCAAAAGGCUCAGAAGCAUGUUACUCGGGCUUUGAAGAAAGCUGGUCUUAAUGUUUCCUCAUCAAGUAAACUUGCUCCUAAGUUCAAUGUCAUAGUGGCAGAAUAUGUGCGACAAAUUCUGGCAAAAAGAAAAGCUGCAGAAAGAGGAAAUAGAAGUAAAGUUUUAGAUAAGGAAGUGACUAGUAGUUAAGUCGAUCAUUCUGGACAUGACUGAUGGAGCAUGCAUGGCAGUGUACAUUGUUGCAAAAACCAAAGGAUAUUUUUAUUUUUUCCAGGUGAUGUCUCGUUGCAGUGUCAGAUAUUAAGCAACUAGGAACAAUUACUAGGAUCUAUGGUCUACAUGUGUUUAUAUACCAAGUACAUGAAAGCUGUAUGUGUCGAUGUCAAAUAAAUACCAGCCUUCUUGGAUGUAAGUCUAAGAGAUGUUCAUACUCAAGCCUAGUGCCAUACCUUGCCAUACCUUUGAAUACAGAAUAGUAUUUUACUUGUAGAGAUUAAUAUUUUAAACAUGUACAGCCUUUCUGCUUUUAUUUUAAACAGUACAUGAAUUCUGUUGUGCACAGUAUUUUUGCGUGCAAGGGGCCGUGUAAUGAAAUAUGUUGGUCUGUAAGGGGAAAAAAAACACCCAUUUGCUGCAAGUGAUUACGUUUUCACAAUCAUACUCAGGUUGUUUAUAUACAGAACAGAGUAUUGAAAUGAGAU